GGGUGAGUAAUGCAUCGGAAUGUACCGUGUAAUGGGGGAUAGCUCGGCGAAAGCCGGAUUAAUACCGCAUACGCCCUGAGGGGGAAAGUGGGGGACCGUAAGGCCUCACGUUAUACGAGCAGCCGAUGUCUGAUUAGCUAGUUGGUGGGGUAAAGGCUCACCAAGGCGACGAUCAGUAGCGGGUCUGAGAGGAUGAUCCGCCACACUGGGACUGAGACACGGCCCAGACUCCUACGGGAGGCAGCAGUGGGGAAUUUUGGACAAUGGGCGCAAGCCUGAUCCAGCCAUGCCGCGUGUCUGAAGAAGGCCUUCGGGUUGUAAAGGACUUUUGUCCGGGAGCAAAUCCCAGUGGUUAACACCUACUGGGGCUGAGAGUACCGGAAGAAUAAGCACCGGCUAACUACGUGCCAGCAGCCGCGGUAAUACGUAGGGUGCAAGCGUUAAUCGGAAUUACUGGGCGUAAAGCGUGCGCAGGCGGUUGUGCAAGUCUGAUGUGAAAGCCCCGGGCUUAACCUGGGAACGGCAUUGGAGACUGCACGACUAGAGUGCGUCAGAGGGGGGUAGAAUUCCGCGUGUAGCAGUGAAAAUGCGUAGAGAUGCGGAGGAAUACCGAUUGGCGAA
rnacentral:rRNA from 1 species